ACCACAAUUAAUUCCUUAGCAAAAACAAGUUUUCUGUUGUUAUUGUCUUUUUGUUUUUUGGUUCAUAGAGCUUGAAGUAGAGAGCUAGCCGGUGGGGUGAUCCAUUGUGUGAAAGGAGAAGAAUGGAAAGGCAACCCUCUCCGAGUCUUGAAAGGGCAUCAUCGUUUGAGAUGGAUGAACCUCUCACUUUAACCAAGAAGCAAUACCAAGCUGCAUUGGCUGCGGUGAUCAAAGCCUCCGCCAAAGGAAAAGGAAAAGCUCCCGCGCCACCAGUUGGUGAAAAGGCGGCGAAGAAAAUUGCAGGGAAAGUAGGUGGCAAAGGAUGCGUUAAAUUCAACCUGUAAAUUUCUAUCGUAAUUGUGUCACCCGAUAUCCCUAUGUAUUGCUUUUUAUUUUCAUGUUGGUUUGGUUGUGGCAGCAUGGGAAAUAUUACUAAUAAUUACUAUAUAUACUUAAUGUUAUAGUAAUUAAUUAGUAUUGUAUGACCUUAUUAAUGCUGUGCUCUUGGCUUUUCGGUUAAAUAAAACCUUUUCAUCUUCUGGAUA